UGCCUGCAGGGAUGGGGCAUCCACAACCUCCUUGGGCAACCUGUUCCAGUGCCUCACCAUCCCUACUGAAACAAGGACACUGUUCCUUGCUAUUUGUCAAUCAUGGCAGACUCCUUGUUUUUGUGCCCUGUUUGUGCUGCCCAGUGUUAGGGAAAAAUCUGCCACCUUAUGUUUAUUCUGUACCUAAAUACGUAUGCAGUGUUACUUUGAGAAGUUUUAAAUAGAUUUUCCCUGAUGUUCUGGCAGUUCACUGAGUUGUGUCUGACAUACAAGGUUCUGCAAUGGAAUUGUGAACUAAAAUGUAAGUGUAGUGUUUUCCAGGCUGCUUUUCAAUAAAGAUAAGGAAGAAAGCGAAAAACAUUAGAUAUUAUUUCCUUUCAUGAAUUAAAAAAGUUAAUUAAGCAUGGGCAAAUCUGAAACCUUGUAGGCAUGAAUUUAAUAUCGUUGUACAGAAGGUCUAAAAUAGAGAUUGUUGAGUGAGACUGUGCCUCAGAACAGGGCUUACGAGGGAAAUGCAGUUUCUCUGGAGGUUUGGGAGUAGUUUUGUUAAGUUUUGAGCACUUUACCUGAUAGAGUGUUUUAGAUAAAGAAUCAACGGGUUAGCCAUUUUUAUUUAAGUUUGUAUGGAAUGUGGGUUGAAAAAAUGAGGUAUGACUUCAAUUAAGUACAGUACAAGAGCAUGUUGAAUAGUAAUAUCAUAUGUGCUCUAGCAUUCCUCAAAUUUCAAUUUACCUUUCUAAUUCAGAAGGGUUAAUUACUUAUUCCUUCAUUCUAUGAAACGAUCUUUGCCUCAGAUAUGCUCAAGCCAUCCAUUUCCAUAAAUUAUUAAAUUUCAUUACAAUUUCACGGGGUAUGCGGAGAUUUAAAUCAGAAAAGACGUAAAACAGAGUAUGUUUCUUUAGGGAAGCACCUCAUUUCCAGUGUCUGUUUAAUAUCUCAGUGCCUACUUAGUAUUUCAAGGCCAGGUUGGAUGGGUUGUGAGCAACCUGGUCUAGAGGGAGGUGUCCCUGCCUAUAGCAGGGGUUGGAACAAGGUGAUCUUAAAGCUCCCUUCCAACCCAAACCACUGUGACUCUGUCUGAAAGACAGAAAUUUGGAUUUCCACAUCUUUACAGGUUGGUGUGAGAUGAAUUUGCUCGGAAAUCCUGUCUGUAAUAACAUGCUUUGGCUUUUAGUCUUGCUCUCUGGUUUUUUUUGUUUUUUUUCCUCUUUGUUGAGUAUUUAUAUCUAAACACUAAACAGCUUGUUUGCAGGUCAAGUGUACAUCUAUAAAUAUUGUACUGUCGUUUGAAAAACAGGAAUUACUUUUUAGCCACCGAUUACAUUUGCAUUUUGGAAGGUGUUGCAAGGAGAAGCAAAGGUUAAGGCAGUCUGAAGGGAUCUUUUUGUUGUUGUUUGCAUGUGCCUUUUGCUCUUGACAGCUGGAAAACAACAACAAAGAGAAGUCAGUAUGCACACACGAAGCUUGAUAGAUUAGAAGCAUACAAGAAGUACGUUUGUAGAGCUGCACAUCCAGCUGUCAAACGCUGCUCCCAAGGUAAAAUGGUUCCGAAGAAAAAACCCAGUGCUCCCUUAUCACCUCUAACUACACUGCGGCAUAAAGGGCCACGUCACUCAUCACUAAGCCCUCUCAAAAAGAAAAAAAAAAAAAGAAAUAAUAAUGAAAAAAUGCCUGGCUGAGUCCCUGGAGCACCUUCCUGACUGCUUAGCAUGCCUCUCACAGUGGGAUGCGCGGCGGCACGAUGCACCAAGCUGCACCCCCAGGACUGUGAUAGGGCUGGCACGUGGGAAGGAUCCCCGGGGUUUCUCUGGCAACAGCACAGGUUGCUGGGAAACGGAAUUACCUAAAUGGCAGAAACUUCACCCAACUGGCAGCCUCUUGAAUGGAAAUAGGGCUUGAAGGAGACUCCUCUUGCUGAUACCGUAAUUUCCCUCUCCGGUAUGGAAAAUGAAUCCAGGGGUACUUUAUCCAAAGGAUUAGGCAUGGAUGCUGCUCUGAAAAUUCAUUCAAAGUUGCAUAAUAAAGAGGAUAAUUAUUUGCAGGAAGAGGUACGCUGGGUUCAGUAGCUUCUUGUUGCUGCGGUUUUGAAAAGGGACAUAAUGUAUAAACUUGCCAAAUUUGCAUUGCUAAAUAAAGCGGUGGGAAGCUCAAGGCUUGUAUUUACAUGGGUUAUUUUUUUCACUAGAGAAUAUUUCGUAUUAUUUUGUGUGAAAUCUGGGAUACAUUGAACUCCUUUGGCUAAUUGUGGUCGUUCUAUCUGCAGUAUGGUUUCUGCAUGAAUGCCAUUGACCUGACAUUUAAGUUAUGUUGUAAUUUCAACCCAGAAAAAAGGGGGGUUGUGAGAAUUUUCUUGCUUUUCUAACAUGCCUUUGUGCCACUAUUUCAAACCUCAUGAGCUUAGGUGCUAAGCAGAUAUGGGAAUGUGAGCAUAUAUAGGUUUUAAAUGAUGGGUUGUUGCUGCUGUUCACCUACAAGUAGGCAUUGCGGAAAUAAUGGCUAGUAAUUCGGGUUGUGACCUGGGUUGCACAGGAUGUGCACAGAUGUGAUAAGCAUUGCUCAGUGCAUAUCACAGGAAGGUACAUGGGAUUAGGCUGCCCACUGGGGCUUCACUUACCACAUCAGAGAGGAGUGAAUGGUGGAAAAGCCUUUGUUUGGGCUUUACCUUGUACUGAGUACAGAGGUGGGGUGGAGCACUGGGAGGGACUGUUGGCUUCAUUGACUCUGGUGCAGUCUAUGUGCUUAAUUCAUCACAUGAUGAAUGUCAAAAGGCAUUUAAACUUGAAAUGCCCCUUUCAUCCAUGGGCUGCAAGGGGAGCAUCCAGUGAUGGAUGUGUGUGUUAGUUACAUCAGUGAUGGUGUGAGCCCUGCCUCUGCUGUCCUGGACAACCAAGUGGUGUGUGGCAUUGAAUGGGCCCUCUGACUUGUUUUUCAGUUACGUAAUUCUGUUAUUUUUUAAAUAAAAUAAUCAAAGAAUGACUUGGGGUGGAAGGAACCUUAAAGUCCAUCCAGUUCCAGCCCCUGUGCCAUAGACAGGGAUACCACUCACUACAUCAGGUUAGCAGGGCUCCAUCCAGCCUUGUAUUGGGCACCUCCAGGGACAGCACAGAAAUCACAGACACUUCUGUCCCAGUCUUCCAUUUGAAAGACUUUUCCAGCAAUUGACUGUGUUGACUGUUUAAAAUGUUUUAAGUUUGAAACAAUUCUUAAUUGUUCUUUUUAUCUCUUUAGUUGCGUUUUCUAGCCAUUGAGCAUCUCUCGGUUUUCUGUUAUUUCUUUGAGGAGAGAAAAGAGACACUGGUCACAAUGCCUCCUCAUCCUGUAUUCUGUCAAAGAGUAAAGCUAUUUUAAUAUCUGCCUAUAAAAUAGGUUGCUUUUCAGAAGAUACAAUCAUACUUUUGAACACAGUUGAGCUGUGUUAUAUAUGGCAUUCUUAAAGGGUAACUCAUGUGGACACUCAUUCAAACCAGAUCUGCUCAUGAUUUACGUUAUGGUUACAUGAACAGAUUAGCUCAGUGUAAGCCUGGUGUGGUUUUAUAGCAUAAAAACUACUCCAAGUAACUGUCUACGAAUGCCUUUGUUGUGCACUGAAUGCUAAGUCAUCUGUCUGGUUUCAUUAAAAGGUAGGCUGUGUUACAUUUACUCCAGGGUAAAGAAGUGCAGUUACCACAAAGAAAUGUGGUAAUGAGAAUUUUGUUUGUGUGCAUCAUUUUUCUUUUUUCUUUUUCUUUUUUUUUCAGAGAACACCAGAAGCAAACUUAAUUGAGGGCAUAAUGUCAUUUAAUGACCUACCUGUAGUUGGUACUCGAUAUAAAGCCUUAAUUUUUUUCUUGCCCUGAGUCAGAACUGUCUUUUCUUUCUACUCACUUCAUAAUGUGCCAGUUCAAAGAGUCAAGAUUUUAUUCCUAUUUUUCUUUAGUUUUCUUGGCUGAGGUUCAUAUACCACAUUUCCAGUAACAAAAGAAUUUCCAAAGUCAGAAAACUCAGCAACAGUUCAGUUGUUCACAUCCAUAACAGCAGAAGUGCAGCUUUAGUUUCCUCAGCAUAUCAUUAUAUGGUGAUACAGUCAUUGCAUGUUUGGCUUAUAAUUGUCUGAUAGGUUCUGUUUUGUCUUGCAUGUAAUACUCUAUUUAUUAUGUGUAGACUUUCAGCGGUGUGGAUAUAUUUGUAUAUUGCUCUCAUUUUGAUAUUUGCACAUUUUUAUGAUACAUACGAAACCUGCAUUUAAAUUUGUAGCUCAAUUAGAAUAAUACACAUAAAUAACUCUUUAGUUCAAAUAAGAUAAAAACCCAUGCAAUGUAUAAUUAUGCUUAUUGCAGUUUCUUAUUUAUUGCUCACAGCUCCUUCUUGCUGCAGAUAGGCAGAAUUGUACUUAGGAAUUUCAUCCACUUGGGUGAGCAGAUUAUUGAGUAUUAGUUUCAGAGAUAGAAUCUUGCUUACUGUUGAGGCAUGUGGCCAACUGGAUUAUAUUAAACUAGAGAUUUGGUGCCUCAGACACUGGCUGUUAACCCCUGCUGGAAAACCAGUGAGAAAGCAGAAGUAUACUGCAAAGGAUGGUCAUUCUGAUUAGACACUGGAAAUGGUCGUGGCAAACUGAAGAUUAGCAGCAAAAGCAUGCCACAACCUGCAGUUGUAAUCAGAAAACGUUUCCAUUCAAGGAUGCCAGGUAUUUCCUGCAACCUGUAGUCAGCUCUGGUCCUUGGGUAGGAGAAAUGCUUCUGUAUUGCGCAGCUUGCUCUCCAAGGGAAGCAUGGUUUGUUGUUUUGUUAAUGCUGCUGGCCUGUCUAUUUUUACUGAACAUCAUGGCAAAAUCUGGAUUACGUUGUUAAUGCUUCAGAGCAUCUGCUUGACAUUCCUCCUUCAUCUUUUCCUCCUUCCAGGCUCAGAAAUGUACUUUAUGGUUCCUCAAACAUUCAACUCCUAAAAAAUUCCGCCUAGAACCUGUUUACACAUCUGUAGCUACUUCAGGCUAUUCAGUCCACUCCCAAAGAGGAGCAGGUCCCCAAAAUGAUGAUCAGUAUUUUGGCUUGCACCACUGUGCGGCCUCACAUCGAGCACGGGGUGCAGAAGGACAUAAAACUAUAGGAAAGAAUCCAGAUGAGGACUGCAGAGUUGGGGGAGGAUGUAGAGUCAAGAUGUAUGAAGAAUGCUGAGGUUCUUUGGUUACAGAAGCUUAGAGAAGAGACCUUGUGACUGUGUGCUUCUUCUCUUCCCCCAGCUUCCACUUUAGACAUUAUACCCAAGACCUGACAACAAUCAAGCUCUCACUAAGACUUAUAACCACCACUAAUCUGUUUGAAACUGGGGGUUGAAAAAGUUUGAUAGCAGACACCUGGGUCAACAGCUGAAGGGCAAUUGAGAGUGCAGCACAGCUGUGACUGAGUCAGCCCUCUUAUCCCUUAAGUUGUGAGUGGCCUGAAGGCCCCUGCAGCACUUUGACAUAGCAAUUGGCUGUAUGAUAGGAUUUCUCUUUGAGUAGGGAUAUCUCUUGGAGUUAGCUGUAUUGCAGAGAUCUCUCACAUCUUGAUGUCAAGAUGCUUCUUGCCAGUAUGCAUCCUUGCCUUCCUGAUUAAAUCUUGGAUCAGCUCUUGAUAAAGAGAUGGAGAGAAAUUGCCUGCACUGAAGAGCAAUAUGGAUCCAAGAAUAUUGGAACAGUUCAUAGUAUACUGUGGCCAAGAAUAAGUUCCUUUUGCUGGGUGCAGACUGAGAAGACGUGGGAGAAGAUAUUAAAUAUCCGGAGCAUUGUGAACACAUGAUUUCCCUCAUUUCUUCUUCACCUCCUUCUUCCAAGGAGAAGAAAAGAAUUCCAGCUUUGUUUCAUAGCUGCAGGAAGCUGCUGUGAUUGUGCUGCAUGUCUGUCCUCCAUCAGUCUGUUAUUUGUGGACCAGUGGCCAGCUUCAAGCAAAUUUGAAGGAAGAGCAGUAUCACUCACACCAGAGAGAUCAGCAAGGGAUUUUGCUGAUGGAGCAGCACUCCAUUGUUCUGCUUUAUGUGUACUGUAGAAUCGUAGAAUGUGCCCAGUUGGAAGAGACUUACAAGGAUCACUGAGUCCAGCUCCUGAGUGCGCUCAGCAUCACCCAAACCCUAUGGCUGAGAACAGUAUCUGUACGCUCCUGAGCUCUGGCAGCUCAGGGCUGUGCCCUCUGCCCUGGGGAGCUGUGCCAUGCCCACCACCCAACCCUUUCCCGGUGACAGAGCAGGUCUCAGUGCUGCCUUUCAGCUCCCUGUCUGGAGCUGCAGCUGCCGUGAGAUUUCCCCUCAGCUCCUCUGCUCUGGGCCCACCAUUCCUCACGCAUCUUGCCUCUUAAUGCCUCGCUGUAUUUGUAGCCCUUCUUUGGAUGCUUUGGUAGUUAUACGUCGUUACGUUGUGAUGCCCAACUACACCCAGUGGUGAGGCCAGAGAGCUCAGUGGGACAGUCCCUUCCUUAUGGAAGUUGGCUCAAGCUGACCAGUACAACCUCGUGUCUUCCCAGUCACCGCGAGCGUGGCUCCUUUUAGCUGUUUAAAUGAAAAUGUUAGAUUGCAUGUGGAGAGGAGCUUCAAGAAGUGGGUAUGUGGAAGGAGCAAAUUUUGCAAAUCUAUAGGAAGAGAGGCUCUUACUGGCUCAUUUCUGCACAAAGUAUCUUGAUUCAGCCGUCAGUCAACACGAGAUUCAGUUGUAGUAGGGUUUCUUCAGGAGCAAGAGUCUACUGGUGUGGAAUCAAAACAUGCUUUAUAUGUUAAGACUUCACUGUGUACAAGUGUGACAUUACUGGCAUGUGGAGGUGUUCUUUCUUUGCGCUGAUCUCCAAAAUGCACAUUUCCCCCCAAUUCUCAUACAUUCAGCAAAAAAUUGCACAAAGAUCCAUGAAGGUGCAAGUAAAACUGGUUGAUGCUUUGCCAGCUCGACGUUGUACUUCCAAGUAAAUACCUUCUGCUGAAAUCCUGUCUGCAUUUCCUCUAGCUUUGCAUGGCUUUUACUUAUUGAUUUUAUUUUAUCUGGAGGUGUCACCCUGAAUCCAAACAACUGCCUGAUUUCCAAGAGGCUGAGCUUGCGUUUGCUUGCAACUCAAAUCUCUCUAAAAUUACUGAAAGAGCAUUUGUCACUUGGUGGCCUUUGUUUCUUUUGUUUAACGAUGUGUUCAAUUCUUCUUUUAAAAACUUUUUCCACGAGAUGUCAUUAAAGUGAGUGCAUUAAACUCAGUGUCAUGAAUAAUUUAUCGUGCAGUUU